rnacentral:rRNA from 1 species
UGGGGAAUCUUGCGCAAUGGCCGAAAGGCUGACGCAGCGACGCCGCGUGUGGGAGGAAGCUCUUCGGGGUGUAAACCACUGUUGCCCGGGACGAACACACCUUUUCGAGGGUGCUGACGGUACCGGGUGAGGAAGCACCGGCUAACUCUGUGCCAGCAGCCGCGGUAAUACAGAGGGUGCGAGCGUUGUCCGGAAUCACUGGGCGUAAAGGGCGCGUAGGCGGUCGGAUAAGCGUGCGGUGAAAGCCCGGGGCUCAACCCCGGGUCGGCCGUGCGGACUGUGCGACUGGAGCACUGUAGAGGCAGGUGGAAUUCCGGGUGUAGCGGUGGAAUGCGUAGAGAUCCGGAAGAACACCGGUGGCGAAGGCGGCCUGCUGGGCAGUUGCUGACGCUGAGGCGCGACAGCGUGGGGAGCAAACAG